UAAGCAAUUGCUUGCAGCUCAAGGGGGCCCCCUAUUCUCUCUCUCUAUGAUAUUGUAUGGGGGGAGGCCCCCCAAAAUAUUCCCAAGGGGCCUGUGGUGGCCCCCCUCCUUCCUACCCCUUUGUGCCCUCCCUGCCCCCCCCCGCCUGCCCCCUAUCGCCCUUGCACCCAACCCCCCCCCCCUUACCUUUCACUCCUGGCCCCGGGCUGGGGGGAGGAAUCCGAGGGUCUGAAACCAAAGGGAAAGUCAAGGGAAGCCCCUAAAACAAAAAGUGAAACUUCUGCCGAGCUCCCUCAGCCAGGCUGGUGCCUCCCCCUCUGCCCCCAGGCUCCCGGGCUUUGCCCAGAGCGCUGCAGGCUGACGUCAAGGGCCCAAAUUCCUGACUUUCCCCGAAGGCAGAUUUGUCCAUGUAAGGAAUGUAAGCAGUUGUGCGCAAAGCCAGGCAUGUGCUUAAAUCUUUGCAGGAUUUGGGGCCUCAGUUUUUAACACGGAGAGACACAUUCAACUUAAAGCAGCAAGAUGAACAGUGGCAGCUUGUUGGAAGAACAACAAAAAAGGCACCAGAAUUCCUACGUUGGCUCUGGAAAACAUUGGAUGUGUUGUCAGCGGAGAAAAUUACCUAUGUGAGAAGCCAUGAAAUAGACAACUACUAUUUAAUCUGGUAUCUUUUUAGUGAAUAUGCUGAAAAAGAACCUUCAGAAGGCAGUAAAACUGGACAGAGCUUCUGUAUUUAUUAAAGGAAUGGCUUUUAUUAUUUCCAUAAGUAAUUCCCUUGCCCAGAGCCCACAUAUUCAUUGCCACUGUGAGAAUACUUUUUUAAUAUUACAUUUGAUACUGCCUCUUUUGUCUGUCUUCUGAGAUUGUGCUUUAAGUAAACAAACAGUUGUAGAAAAAAUGUGUAUGGCCAUAUAGAUUGGAUCUUUAUGAGCAAAGAGUGCCCACUGAUGAAAUUCACAUAUGAUAUUAAAGUGGAGAAGCUGUACGUACUAGAGAAGGCUGGAAUAAUACACAGACACAGGGGGGAGAGAAUCAGAAACAUGGGCUAAAAAAAAACAGAUUCCACCUAGUGAAAGACAAAUGAAUCAAUCUGACAGGAGAAAAAUCUGAAACUAAUAUUCAAAUA